GACGUAGGGCGCGAGCGUUGUCCGGAUUUAUUGGGCGUAAAGAGCUCGUAGGCGGCUUGUCGCGUCGACUGUGAAAACCCGGAGCUCAACUCCGGGCCUGCAGUCGAUACGGGCGGACUUGAGUGUUGCAGGGGAGACUGGAAUUCCUGGUGUAGCGGUGAAAUGCGCAGAUAUCAGGAGGAACACCGGUGGCGAAGGCGGGUCUCUGGGCAACUACUGACGCUGAGGAGCGAAAGCGUGGGGAGCGAACAGG
rnacentral:rRNA from 1 species